AUGGAUAACUCUGCCCUUACAGCUUUCAUUUUCAAGCGACUCAGCCAUAAAUAUGCAAUGUAUUUCUUUAAAACUGCAGUAUAUCCUUUCCCCAAUCUUCAGAACAUGGAUAAAGAGUAUUUGGAUGCGACUCAUUCGAAGAUUGGGGAUUUUUGUUUAGGGUUUAGGAUACGGUUCUUUUAUCCUGAUGAGGGCAAAUGA